rnacentral:rRNA from 1 species
GACGAACGCUGGCGGCGUGCCUAAUACAUGCAAGUCGAACGAGAGCGCCCGGUGCUUGCACUGGUCAAUCUAGUGGCGAACGGGUGAGUAACACGUGGGUAACCUGCCCAUCAGAGGGGGAUAACAUCCGGAAACGGAUGCUAAAACCGCAUAGGUCUUCGAACCGCAUGGUUUGAAGAGGAAAAGAGGCGCAAGCUUCUGCUGAUGGAUGUACCCGCGGUGCAUUAGCUAGUUGGUGAGGUAACGGCUCACCAAGGCCGUGAUGCAUAGCCGACCUGAGAGGGUGAUCGGCCACAUUGGGACUGAGACACGGCCCAAACUCCUACGGGAGGCAGCAGUAGGGAAUCUUCCGCAAUGGACGCAAGUCUGACGGAGCAACGCCGCGUGAGUGAAGAAGGUUUUCGGAUCGUAAAACUCUGUUGCUAGAGAAGAACAAGUGCUAGAGUAACUGUUAGCGACUUGACGGUAUCUAACCAGAAAGCCACGGCUAACUACGUG